GAUGAACGCUGGCGGCGUGCCUAAUACAUGCAAGUCGAGCGAAUGGAUUGAGAGCUUGCUCUUAUCAAGUUAGCGGAGGACGGGUGAGUAACACGUGGGUCACCUGCCCAUAAGACUGGGAUAACUUCGGUAAACGGGGGCUAAUACCGGAUAACAUUUUGAACAGCACGGUUCGAAAUUCAAAGGCGGCUUCGCCUGUCACGUAUUGAUGCACCCGCCGCUCAUUUGCUAGAGGGUGAGGUAACGGCUCACCAAGGCAACGAUGCGCAGCUGACAUGAGAGGGUGAACGGCGACACUGGGACUGGGACACGGCCCAGACUCCUGCGGGAGGCAGAAGUAGGGAAUCUUCCGCAAUGGACGAAAGUCUGACGGAGCAACGCCGCGUGAGUGAUGAAGGCUUUCGGGUCGUAAAACUCUGUUGUUAGGGAAGAACAAGUGCUAGUUGAAUAAGCUGGCGCCUUGACGGUACCUAACCAGAAAGCCACGGCUAACUACGUGCCAGCAGCCGCCGUAA
rnacentral:rRNA from 1 species